GAACGCUAGCGGCAGGCUUAAUACAUGCAAGUCGAGGGGCAGCACAGUGUAGCAAUACAUGGGUGGCGACCGGCAAACGGGUGCGUAACACGUACACAACUUACCCUUACUGGGGGAUAGCCCAGGGAAACUUGGAUUAAUACCCCAUAUUGCAGAUGACCGGCAUCGGUUGUUUGCCAAAGUUCCGACGGUAAAGGAUGGGUGUGCGGUUGAUUAGGUAGUUGGCGGGGUAACGGCCCACCAAGCCUACGAUCAAUAGCUGAUGUGAGAGCAUGAUCAGCCACACGGGCACUGAGACACGGACCAGACUCCUACGGGAGGCAGCAGUGAGGAAUAUUGGUCAAUGGUCGCAAGACUGAACCAGCCAUGCCGCGUGCAGGAAGACGGUCCUAUGGAUUGUAAACUGCUUUUAUACAGGAAGAAACCCUCCCACGUGUGGGAGCUUGACGGUACUGUAGGAAUAAGGAUCGGCUAACUCCGUG
rnacentral:rRNA from 1 species